UGCAAGCCGAGGGGUAUGAUUCUUUCGGGAAUCUGAGACCGGCGCACGGGUGCGUAACGCGUAUGCAACUUGCCCUACUGAAAAGGAUAGCCCUUCGAAAGGAGGAUUAAUACUNAUAACAGAUUGAAUGGCAUCAUUUAAUUUUGAAAGAUUUAUCGCAGUAGGAUAGGCAUGCGUAAGAUUAGUUAGUUGGAGAGGUAACGGCUCACCAAGACGAUGAUCUUUAGGGGGCCUGAGAGGGUGAACCCCCACACUGGUACUGAGACACGGACCAGACUCCUACGGGAGGCAGCAGUGAGGAAUAUUGGACAAUGGGUGGAAGCCUGAUCCAGCCAUCCCGCGUGUAGGACGACUGCCUUAUGGGUUGUAAACUACUUUUAUCUGGGGAUAAACCUACUCACGUGUGAGUAGCUGAAGGUACCAGAAGAAUAAGCACCGGCUAACUCCGUGCCAGCAGNCNNNGG
rnacentral:rRNA from 1 species